UAGAGCUGUGAUGGUUGUAUUAGUGGGUCAGAGGUAGAGCUGUGAUGGUCGUAUUAGUGGGUCAGAGGUAGAGCUGUGAUGGUCAUAUUAGUGGGUCAGAGGUAGAGCUGUGAUGGUCAUAUUAGUGGGUCAGAGGUAGGAGCAGUGAAGGUUAUAGGUCAUAUUAGUGGGUCAGAGGUAGAGCUGUGAUGGUCGUAUUAGUGGGUCAGAGGUAGAGCUGUGAUGGUUGUAUUAGUGGGUCAGAGGUAGAGCUGUGAUGGUCGUAUUAGUGGGUCAGAGGUAGAGCUGUGAUGGUCGUAUUAGUGGGUCAGAGGUAGAGCUGUGAUGGUUAUAGGUCAUAUUAGUGGGUCAGAGGUAGAGCUGUGAUGGUCAUAUUAGUGGGUCAGAGGUAGAGCUGUGAUGGUUAUAGGUCAUAUUAGUGGGUCAGAGGUAGAGCUGUGAUGGUCGUAUUAGUGGGUCAGAGGUAGAGCUGUGAUGGUCGUAUUAGUGGGUCAGAGGUAGAGCUGUGAUGGUCGUAUUAGUGGGUCAGAGGUAGAGCUGUGAUGGUCGUAUUAGUGGGUCAGAGGUAGAGCUGUGAUGGUCGUAUUAGUGGGUCAGAGGUAGAGCUGUGAUGGUCGUAUUAGUGGGUCAGAGGUAGAGCUGUGACGGUUAUAGAUUGUAUUGUACUUUUUGUGAGAGCCAGAAAUCUUGCUUGUUUGUAGGUGACUAAAUACUUAUUUUCCACCAUAAUGUGCAAAUAAAUUCAUUAAAAAUCCUACAAUGUGAUUUUCUGGUUUUUCUUCCUCGUUUUGUCUGUCAUAGUUGAAGUGUACCUAUGAUGAAAAUUACAGGCCUCUCUCAUCUUUUUAAGUGGGAGAACUUAACAAUUGGUGGCUGACUAAAUACUUUUUUUUGCCCCACUGUAACCGUUCGAAUAGCAACAUGCAUGAGCCACGCCAGGUCAAAUCAUUAGAAUGUUCAUCAUACGUUACCAUGGAAAUGAUUGCAUCACAAUACCCGUGUGUUUCUGUC